rnacentral:rRNA from 1 species
GUCGUGGGGCAGCGCAGUGUAGCAAUACAUGGGCGGCGACCGGCAAACGGGUGCGGAACACGUACGCAACCUUCCUUUAAGUGGGGGAUAGCCCAGGGAAACUUGGAUUAAUACCCCUUAACAUUAUGGUGUGGCAUCACAUUAUAAUUAAAGCUACGGCGCUUAAAGAUGGGCGUGCGGCUGAUUAGGUAGUUGGCGGGGUAAAGGCCCACCAAGCCUACGAUCAGUAACUGGUGUGAGAGCACGACCAGUCACACGGGCACUGAGACACGGGCCCGACUCCUACGGGAGGCAGCAGUAAGGAAUAUUGGUCAAUGGACGCAAGUCUGAACCAGCCAUGCCGCGUGGAGGAUGAAGGCCCUCUGGGUUGUAAACUUCUUUUAUUUGGGAAGAAACCCAUCUUUUCUAAGGUGGUUGACGGUACCAGAUGAAUAAGCACCGGCUAACUCCGUGCCAGCAGCCGCGGUAAUACGGAGGGUGCAAGCGUUAUCCGGAUUCACUGGGUUUAAAGGGUGCGUAGGUGGGCAGGUAAGUCAGUGGUGAAAUCUCCGAGCUUAACUCGGAAACUGCCGUUGAUACUAUCUGUCUUGAAUAUCGUGGAGGUGAGCGGAAUAUGUCAUGUAGCGGUGAAAUGCUUAGAUAUGACAUAGAACACCCAUUGCGAA